AUUGCACGCUGGCGGCAGGCCUAACACAUGCCAGUCGAACGAGUUGCGGACGGGUGCGUAAUGUCUGGGCAACUGCCUCCUUUAGGGGGAUAAUUACUGGAAACGGUAGCUAAUACCGCAUACCCUCGGAUGUGCCCAGAUGGGAUUAGCUAGUAGGUGGGGUAAAGGCUCACCUAGGCGACGCUCCCUAGCUGGUCUGAGAGGAUGACCAGCCACACUGGAACUGAGACACGGUCCAGACUCCUACGGGAGGCAGCAGUGGGGAAUAUUGCACAAUGGGCGCAAGCCUGAUGCAGCCAUGCCGCGUGUAUGAAGAAGGCCUUCGGGUUGUAAAGUACUUUCAGCGGGGAGGCGUUACCCGCAGAAGAAGCACCGGCUAACUCCGUGCCAGCAGCCGCGGUAAUUC
rnacentral:rRNA from 1 species